rnacentral:rRNA from 1 species
CACACCUAGUGACCAUCGUAUACGGCGCGGACUACCGGGGUAUCUAAUCCCGUUCGCUCCCCGCGCUUUCGCGUCUCAGCGUCAGAACCGGACCAGGGAGCCGCCUUCGCCACGGGUGUUCCUCCUGAUCUCUACGCAUUUCACCGCUACACCAGGAAUUCCACUCCCCUCUUCCGGCCUCAAGCGAUCCAGUUUGAAGCGGCAUCCCGGGGUUGAGCCCCGGGCUUUCACACCUCACUUAAACCGCCGCCUACACGCGCUUUACGCCCAGUAAAUCCGGACAACGCUCGCCCCCUACGUAUUACCGCGGCUGCUGGCACGUAGUUAGCCGGGGCUUAUUCGCGGGGUACCGUCCGUUCUCGUCCCCCGCAAAAGAGCUUUACAACCCUAGGGCCUUCAUCACUCACGCGGCAUGGCUGGAUCAGGCUUGCGCCCAUUGUCCAAUAUUCCCCACUGCUGCCUCCCGUAGGAGUUUGGGCCGUGUCUCAGUCCCAAUGUGGCUGAUCAUCCUCUCAGACCAGCUACUGAUCGUCGCCUUGGUGAGCCGUUACCUCACCAACUAGCUAAUCAGACGCGGGCCGAUCUUUCGGCGAUAAAUCUUUCCCCGUAAGGGCUUAUCCGGUAUUAGCACAAGUUUCCCUGUGUUGUUCCGAACCAAAAGGUACGUUCCCACGCGUUACUCACCCGUCUGCCGCUGAUGUAUUGCUACACCCGCUCGACUUGCAUGUGUUAAGCCUGCCGCCAGCGUUCGCUCUGAGCCAGGAUCAAACUC